rnacentral:rRNA from 1 species
UACGAAGGGGGCUAGCGUUGCUCGGAAUCACUGGGCGUAAAGCGCACGUAGGCGGCUUCUUAAGUCAGGGGUGAAAUCCUGGAGCUCAACUCCAGAACUGCCUUUGAUACUGAGGAGCUCGAGUCCGGGAGAGGUGAGUGGAACUCCGAGUGUAGAGGUGAAAUUCGUAGAUAUUCGGAAGAACACCAGUGGCGAAGGCGACUCGCUGGACAAGUAUUGACGCUGAGGUACGAAAGCGUGGGGAGCAAACAGG